GGUUCCCAUUGCUAGGGUUUGUCGUGCUAGGGUUUAGGUCGCUCCUUCUCCACCACCUGGCCGCCCACCCUCCACCUCUCGUGCUUCCCGGACGCCGCGGCCGCCGAGACGAGGGCCAGGAGCAGGAGCCACCGAGCAGUCGUCGCCACCGCCAUAAACCAAACUAACUAAGGCAGCUAGAAUCUCUGCUUUGAGUUCUUCCCCGUCACCGCACGGGCUGCGAUCUCUGCUUUUUUUGGUUCCCCAAUCCCAUUCCGUGUCCUCAUGCUGCCAUUUUGGGGUUCAAGGUUCGUCGUCAGGUUCCUGUGCUUUAAUGUCAAUAUUGGUAUGGGUGAUACUGAAGUUAAUGCCAGCAGUUAUUGUCCAAUGAGCUCGGCGAGAUGAUAAGGAAAUAAGUGCAGUUUUUUUUAAGCGGCAUUCCCGUUUUUAUAAUAGUUGACAGUGACAGAUAAUGCUUGCUGGAAAACAAGGUCACUGUGGUAUAACUUCAGAGGUUAUUGCCAGAAGUUACGGAUUGCAGGUUUGGUUAGAUCCAUGGAUCGUGAAAAUUUUGUCAUUGUACUGUGCUUUUUCAUGAUAGGCUGUUGAACUAGAACUGGUUUGCUGUGUCUUUGUAACUUAGUUACCAGAGUAUUAUUGUUCAGUCAGGUCAAGUGAUGGGAUAAAGUGGUGUAGUCUACUGUACUGUACUUUUAAAUGACAGCUGCUGGAACAAAUGAUGUUGUGCAGGAAAUCAAAAUGCCAUAGUUUCACGGGAUAGACGGAUCAGCUUGGUCUGGGGAUGUCGUCAGGUUCCUGUGCUUUUUUCCCAAUAUCUUUGCUUCCGCCAGAUCCUAGAUCCAGUGUCUUUCGUCGGCUGGCUUUGUUUGCGCCGCUGAAGAACAACAAUAGUCAGCCAAUAUCUAGUCCAAAGUCCAAGCGCCGCCUUAAGUUUAGUUGGUUCACCAUGCAGCGUGGAUGGACGGUCAAUUUCUUCGUCCGUCGCCCAACCGGCAGCAACACAUACGCGAUGAUUUGAUUGGUUCCUUGUGUCCUAAAUGAAGGCAGGUUGUCUGAAGAUCUGGAAUCUCCAGUUUCAUCCAAGUUAUUAUGUUUUUCAUUUUAUUCAAUUAUCUCCCCUGCUUCUUUAUCACUCCUAUUUUCUAGAUGACAUAUACAUAAAAACAGGAUGGUCUUUGUUGGCUUCCUGCUACUGCAUAUAACAUACUAAUUUCGCUAAAGAAUAUAUGUAUGUACCUUAACUGUGGCAGCUACUGAUUUGGAUUUUUCUUCAAAACAGGUCAGGAGAGGCUAGAGUUCCAAAUCGUAGUUCGUGUGAACCAGUGUGAACCAGUUGAAUCUCAUCAAUCUUAUCAAGUCAUCUAAUAAAAAAAGGUUUCAUUUUUUCCCAAAAAAUAGUGCAUCUGAUCUUUCCAUUAAUAUAUAGUGUUGUAUUUAGACGUUCAUAUAGUUCCCUACUGCAUUUAACUCAUCCAUAAGCUAGAUGCAUCUAUGAAUCUAUUUAUAAAUUGCUGCUACUAUUUUUUUCCAUUGCAUAAAUAUAAAGAUGCUUUCUUCAUAUUUACCCAUGUCUGUCAUCAUGCGGUAAUUGACUAAUUCCUUAUGUACAGGUUUCUUCGUAUUUACCCAUACCUCUCAUCACAUGAUCAUUUUAUUACUCUGAUGUAUGUCCUGUUUAUUACAAAGGAAUAGAUAAAUAUUAGGUCAGUAGUAACUAUUUCCUUCAGCAAUUUCAUUUACAACAUCAGCCACAAAUUUCUGAAAUUGUGUGCAAGCAUCCCAAGUGAGAAUAACUGUUUUAGGAUGCCUAGGCUCUUAUGAAAAUUAGUUUGUCUGAACAUGCAUUCAUAAAUGAUGUUCAGUGAAGUAUCUGCACAAUACAUAUAGAGACUUUAGCCUGACGUGAAAAGGCUAAAUCAGUUUUGUUAGUUGCAUGUAUGCUUCAAAGUUCUAUAAGCUAUAACUAAAGAGAUUUGGACAGCAAGCUGUCGUACUAAAUAAACUCACAUGUUUUCUGUUUGCCGGAACUAUUCUCUCCGAGUAACAACCACUCUACCAAAAUCAUGGAAGACAAACCUCGGUACCAUCUUCAAUGCUCAACUUUGUAGUCACCUUAAUAUGUAGCCGCCAUUGUAUCUUUGAAAUUUACCUUUGUAGUCACCCUUAAUAUGUCAGAAUUCUCAGUGACAAACACGGUACAAAACUUCUUACAUAAUAAUGUCUUCAAGUUUCUGUGAACCAUCUUGAAGAUACGUAACAUAAUGAAACAUAUUUGACAGGUUCGACGCGUCUUAGAGUUCUACGAUGCAUCCAAGAAUUCAGAGGUAAUUUCCAUGUACUUAUAAUAUUGACUUAUGUACAUAGACACAUUUAAGUAUUUUCUCUACUGUUAAGUUAUCAAAAACAGAUGGUAACAAAGAACAAUGCUUAAAGAACAAUGCUUAAAGAACAAUGCUUAUGCAGUUGGUAAAGGCACCCGCCCGCAACAGCAGGAGCUUGUCAUUUGCUAGCUCUAAGACAAUCGCUUCUUCAAUAUUAUUGACUUUUUCGCAAUGACUUAUAGUAUAAUUAGAUCAACAUGACAACCUCACAUGUACCUAAAAUACGUGCAUAAAACCAGUUUUUUAUCAGGAUGUAGCUUUUCACUCUUUUUUUAUUGAAAUAUAAAAUAGAAUGAUUGGAUUUAGCUUACAAAUUAUUGUUGGAGCUGUCCUAAAUAUGUCGUUAUCUCAUGAGGCUGGGCCUGGAAAAAAAAGAGACAGACUAUGCGCACCAGGGCAUCAGACAAAGACAACUCUCCGAAUUUCAGCUGCACAGGCUCAUUCUUUUGAACCAUCUAAGUUAACUGACACUUUUUCUUUUAAUCACAGAACGUUGACAAAUAUAUAGAUCAGCUGACCAACAAUGAAUUGUCAUCACCACCCAAAAAGAUGAAGCACACCCAGGUUAACAAAGCCAUUCCAGAUUCUACAUGUUCCAAGAAUGACAACAGUUAGACCAUCCUGAAAUACAUCAAGGUUGGGCGGCUUCCGAAGUCAUUCAGACCUGCGUCCGAGCCUACAUCAUCAUUUGGUUUGAAUCGCGGAACGAUGUCGUUCGUCACUGCGUUGUUCUAAUAACAAACUAACAUGUGAGAUCAGCUCACUCCGCAAUAAAGUGCAGGACCGCUCCAUCCGGAGCCAGACCACGAUGGAUGAGCCAAACCAUCAGACCAAACACGCUAUUAGUACCUGCUUGUCGUGAUCAGAGGGAAAGAUAAAAUAAACAUAUUGUAUGUUAUUGUUUCUCUCUUUUCAAAAAAUGUUAUUUGUUUUAUGAUCCUGAUAUUACAUUGUGCUCUUUGGUGUUGUCUAUGCUAACAUACUACUCUCAUUUGUAUACUGGUACUGUUUCUUUUUUUGCAAGCAUAGAAGAGGCUCCAUCACCUUUGGUCAUGAGACUUUUAUGUACAUAUUAACCUGAUGUUGAACCUUCCUAGAAUUGUGUGUCUAUGCAAAAAAGACUAGGUCACUUUUGAUCAAUAGACUUUUAUUUGCACG
rnacentral:lncRNA from 7 species